UUAACUCUCAGAUUUAAUACACAUUAAUUCUCCAUUAAUCUCUACUAAUCAACAGUUAAUUAAAGAAUGAAAUAGAAAGGGAUUAGGGAUUUAACGUGAAUCUUGGAGUCCUGAAGAACUCAAUCUUCAUCCUCUCGAGCGGUGAACGGCGCGGCGGUUCCCCUCUUGAACUCACCUUCUCCGAUCAAAAUCCAAGGCGCCACCGUCCAGCCAUACCAUCAUCAUCUCCUCCGCUCUCAUCUUCAUCGUCUCGCUUUCGAAGCUCUCUCUAAUCUCCGAUGCCUUUCGCUCUCUUCACCUCAUGAACCUUCGAUUUCUUCUCUCAACUUUCUUCUCCUUUCUCGAUUUGAUUUCCGACGUUGAUUUGUUGUUUUCAGAUUGUUGAAGGUGAAAGUGAUGAUACCGAGUGAAGAUUCUGGAAAAUUGCUGCGUGAAUGAAGGUUUUGUCAGUGAUGAAUCACGCUCAAGAUUGUUGCGAAAUCAUUAUCGUGUAAUGAAGGUGUUGCAAUGCUUGUUGUUAUUCGACACUGAUGAAGAUGUUCAGAGUGUUUUCUUUUUGAUUUUCUGAGAGAUGAUUGGAGUUGCGUUGAUUUGAUGAUUGAAGAUGAGGUUGAAGAACGGUGAAGGUUUUGUGGAUUUCAAAAUUGAUGAAGAACGAUUGGUGAAUCAAGAGGAAAUUAUUGAACGAAGAGAUGAAGAUUGAGAGAGAGAGUUUUUAGUUACAGGUUCCUUCUAUCUUUCUUUUUGUGAACUCUGUUAUCUCCUCUCUGUUAUGGAUUCAAUGAAGAGAGAAAGAUAAAGUUAUGGUUUGAGGAUGAAGAAUCGAUGGAGAUCCAUUGAAGAUGAUGAAGAACAGAGAUGAUGAAGAUCAGAAUUGGUGGAGAAGUUUUGUUAUGGAUUCGUUUGUUGAUGGAUUGUUGAAGAUUGGCCAAGAUUGCGAGAGAAUUCAGAGAUUCUGUUAUGGUUCAGUCACCGAUUUUUUGUUACAUUUUCGGUUACCUCUCUUUUCCUCUCCCCUACCUGUUAUCGAUUUCUGUAUCUGAGCCUCUCCCCUAUCUGUAAUUGUGCUGCUGCUUUUUGUAUUGUGUUGCAGGGUUAGACGCUGUUGAAUCGGUUUGCUUCUGUUGGAUGCCGGGCUUCAAGUUUUUUUUCCUUUUUCCAUUUUUUUAAUGUAACUUGAACUGGGCUUUAUAAUGAACCUUUUCUUUUGUAAUUCAAAUUUGGGUAAUGAAUUGUAUGGACUUUUGUGAUGAUAUUGUAAUGAUAAUUGAAUGAGUUUGACUUUUGGACAUGUAGCAUUUUGAAUCGAAACAACUUUGUACACCUUUGCUUCUUUUUCAUGUAAGACCUUGAAUGAUAAUGAAUGACUUAGAUUGUGAAACUUGUGUGUCAAAACAUAUGAUUGGAUCCUUCAUCCAUAGCAAGCUCGAAUUAAUUCUUGACAAAUCAUAUGCUUAAGAACAAACCGAUUAAUCUUGAACACAAAUCUAAAUUCCUGUCAUUAAGUAGUCUCUUGAAUCAACACAACGGUAUACCUCGUACUUUGCACAAGAACGUGAAUUAAAACCUUGUAUGCCAUCUUAGAUCCACGUAACUUAUAUUGCGAGCAAACUGAUGAGAACAGAAACUUCUUUGAUCAUAACGAAUCUACAAAUUCAUCUCUCGUGUCAUGCCUCACAUUAGCAUUUCAA